rnacentral:misc_RNA from 1 species
CAAGUGACCCCGGUCUAACCACCGGGAUGUUCAUAACCCUUUGUUGUCCGACUCUGUUGCCUCCGGGGCGACCCUGCCUCGGGCGGGGGCUCCGGGUGGACACUUCAAACUCUUGCGUAACUUUGCAGUCUGAGUAAACUUAAUUAAUAAAUUA